GUAGGGUGCGAGCGUUAUCCGGAAUCAUUGGGCGUAAAGAGCUCGUAGGCGGUUCAGCAAGUCGGCUGUGAAAUUCCGAGGGCUCAACCUCGGAACUGCAGUCGAUACUGCUGUGACUCGAGUCCCGGUAGGGGAGAAUGGAAUUCCCGGUGUAGCGGUGAAAUGCGCAGAUAUCGGGAGGAACACCAGUAGCGAAGGCGGUUCUCUGGGCCGGCACUGACGCUGAGGAGCGAAAGCGUGGGUAGCAAACAGGAUUAGAUACCCUGGUAGUCCACGCCGUAAACGUUGGAUACUAGGUGUGGCGUUCCGACCAACGGUCGCCGUGCCGAAGCUAACGCAUUAAGUAUCCCGCCUGGGGAGUACGGCCGCAAGGCUA
rnacentral:rRNA from 1 species